GUGCCCGUAGCUCAAUAGGAUAGAGUUUCAGAUUUCGGCUCUGAAUGUUGAAAGUUCAAAUCUUUCCGGGCAUA
rnacentral:tRNA from 1 species